rnacentral:lncRNA from 1 species
CCUCUGAGAAAAGCCUUUUGCCAUGCAAACAGCAAUAGACUAAACAUACUGUUUUAGAUCCCACCCUUUGAAAUAAUGAUUGCAUCUGGAGUUCAGCAGAAUAGUAGAUGACUAUCAAUCCAUGACUCAGGUUUGCUUUGGAAAGGAUAAUCUGAGAAAAGUGUUUCCUGGUGGUAUAUAUUAGGAGUGUACUCAUACUUCGCUUGAAUGAUUAUCUAAUGAAGAAUUUGUGACAAUUUGGGGGACCUCUCUACAUGCAGCUUAUGAAUUCUGUUUGAUACUCAGGAAUCUCUAUAUAUAGCUGUGUCAGGCUGAAAGUACUUGCUUCCACAAGAGGUGACAGGAGAAAUUUUUGCUCCUGGCACAUGAUCAACAAAGA